AUUUCCGUUUGCCACAUUGUUUCUGUUCCAUUUGAUUUCCAGGUGUCCUACAUAGGCCAGGACUGCAGAGAAAUUCCAGAACACCUUGGCAGGGACUGUGGACAUUUUGCAAAGAGGCUGGAUCUGAGCUUCAACCUUCUGAGGUUUGACUCAAUCACCCAACAGAGGAAAUCCAGACCAAAUAUGAACAGUAACCAGAGCCCAGUUUAAUCAAGAGGGCGAAUCUUCUAUGUAAAUAAAACAUAACCAAAAUAGAUAUCAACCCAGCUGGUAAUGAAGUUUGAGUUGUUCUAAUAAAG
rnacentral:lncRNA from 1 species